UGUUUCUCUCUCUCCCUAUUGUCGCCGUCUCCAAUUUUUUACAGAGUUUUUGUUAAUUUCAUAGGAGCUUUUCUACGCAACAACACUAGAUCAGCAGAAUUAAACAUGAAUUUUCAGUGGAUUCAGCUUUAUUUGGUGUCUUUUUUUUUUUUUUUUCUCUUUCUCAAUCUCUUUGUUUCCUUCCAAACCCUAAUCUCUCUUUUGUUUCAUAAUCAAAAUCCAAUUAUUCUGUUCAAUACAUGUCGAUGAUGGCGGGUAUACAAGCAGUGCGAUGUUCUCGUGGUCACUGUUGUUGGGUGCCAAAAAUUGAAAGACACCGAAUGGUUUUUUGAGUAUAACGGCGCAAGAUACCUUACCAGAACUUGCAGAGAUGGUGGAAAGAACGCUGUUUUCCAAGAGAAGUUUAUGUUUACUUUGCUUGGAAGGGCUUACGGAUCUUAAGGAUUCAAUUGCAGAAGGUUAUUUCUCAGGGAUAUGACAAUUGCACCUAAAAUUUGCAGACUAAAACUGGGAGAAUUUUCUCAUGGGUGGUUGAGUUAGUUCAUCCUUUUAAACGUUACAAGAUAUGUCAUUGCAUGUGAAUGUUCGAUGAAGUUAAACAGAGGAGCUUGGAUUGAUCAUGAAGACAAAUCUAGGAGUAAAGAGAUUUCGUCACCACUCCUGGUGAAGGCAAGAUGAGCACUCUUCCCAAACCAAGCUGGUAUGAAUCUAUCUAUCUAUCCAUCAUUACAUCUUUGACAUACAAUACCAGUCUAAGCUGUAACCUGUUUUUGUUGGCAUAUGCAACAGAUAUUGAAUUUAUUAUGUUCUUUGCUUUCUUGCUUUUGUACUUAAUUUUGAACACAAAUGACGAUGUAUGAUAAUUGGUCGAGACUGAGGAGAAAGUGAAGGGUAUACAUUUUUCUAUACAUUCGGGAUUUUUGUUCAGUUGUUUUGUUGAGCACGUACACUUUUUAUUAUUUAACAACACUGGACAUAUUGGAUAAACUAAAUUGCUUGAAAUCAAAUAAAAAAAUGGAUUUGA